UACGUAGGGCGCAAGCGUUUAUCCGGAAUUAUUGGGCGUAAAGAGCUCGUAGGCGGUUUGUCGCGUCUGCCGUGAAAUCCCGAGGCUCAACCUCGGGUCUGCAGUCGAUACGAGCAAACUAGAGUGUUGCAGGGGAGACUGGAAUUCCUGGUGUAGCGGUGAAAUGCGCAGAUAUCAGGAGGAACACCGGUGGCGAAGGGCGGGUUCUCUGGGGCAUGUCCUGACGCUGAGGAGCGAAAGUGUGGGGAGCGA
rnacentral:rRNA from 1 species